UGCCCUUUUUUACAGCUUUUAGUAAGUCGUUGAGUGGUUGAAGUAUCUUCGCGCCUCUCGAUAUGAGGCCGUCGAAGAAUUAAUCAUAUCGAAGUAGUUAAGUAAUUGUUUGACAGUCGCGGGCUUCGGAACGUUUACUAAAGCUUCAACGCAUUCGGCUAGUGGUUUUAUUCCGUCGGCGUUUACCAUAUAUCCGAGAAAUGUGAUUGCGUAGUUGUUUAAGCGGUUAAAUAAAGUUCGCAAGUGUUUGUAACGUUGCUUCUCGUUUUCCGAGGCUAUUAGAAAAUCUAGAAAAUUAGAAAAUUUGGUGAUUUCGUGAUUUCAUCAACGAAUCGCUGACAAGUUUGCGCGGCGUUCCGAAAUCCAAAUAUCGUAUUGACUGCUUCGAAAAAUCCAAAUGGAAUCGUGAUCGUAGUUUUUUCAACGUCUUCGGGCGCGAUCGGAAUUUGAUGGUAAGCGCACGAGGUCGGUCUUAAAAAAGAUACGCUUACCGUACAGAUGUUGCGCAAAGUCUUCGAUAUGCGGCGGCGAGUAAUUGUCGGGUACGGUGCGGCCGUUCAACGCACGGUAGUCGCCACAAUGCGACAUGCAGCGGUGAUGCCCAUGGACUCUUCGAUAGCCGCAUCACUCCUUGCUCCAUCAUCAUCCCAAAUCCCGUCUUCACCUGCUUGAAUCGGUCGGGGGCAAGGCGUCGAGGUUUGCUAAAGACGAGAGGGCCGAGUGUGGUUUUCAUGUGGUGUACCAUACCGUGUCGGGUUUUCUCUCGUCCGAAAACGGAUGGACGGGUUAGGUUCGGAAAUUCGGCGCGGAGUCGAUGAUACGUCGAUUCGCCGAUGAUUGUCUUGAUCGGUACAGCCUCAGUCGCGGGUCCGCGUAGUUUAUUGAGCGGGUACACGCAUAAGUCAGCGCCAGUAUCCACGAAGAAGGAGAUCCUGAAAUUCCUGUCUGUGAUGAAAAUGCGGCGGGAUCCUGAACCGUCGUCGCACGCCGCGUUUACAGACGGCUGAUGUCGUUUCCCCCCGUUCCAGCUGCAAGGAGUUCGGCACUUUCUUGCGCGGUCUCGAAAGAUUUCAUGGUAGUAGCAUAGACCGGUCUGCAGUGUCCUUUCUCAGGAAUAUGAACGGCGGCGUCUCGAGUGUGAUCGUGGACGGCGCGCGUUAAUUUGCGCCUCAAAUCGGCAUAGUCUGUCACACAUCAUGUCUGCUAUUUGUCCGGGUUCCGGACGUAUAUCGUGGAUGGUGUCGGCCACCUCGAUCAGGGCGUUCGCCUCUGUUAUCCUCAACGCGGUUAGGACAUAUUGCAUAUUCGUUGGAAGGUAAUCCUUUCAGAUCGCUAGUACGAAGUCGUCUGAGACCGACGAGGAAGCGAGCUUCUUCAAGUCCCUGCAGAAUUGGGACGGCAUCCUAUAUAGAUUUGCGAAUCUUGUAAUAAAUUCCAUGUUGGCACUCGAAUGUAACACGUUCACCUUUUUUCACUUUUAGUCACGUCGGGGUCACCGAUUUGGAAUGGUAUUAAACGUGUUGGAUUGUUUUAUAAAAAAAGAGUGAUAAAAUCGUAAUAGUCAGUGUAUAUUAAAAUGUAUUCAAGUACAGGUAUAGAAAUAGUAUAUGCCGGUCGUAAUCAUCGCUCGUCCAAAACUCGUAUAUGGAUAACAACUGAAGUCUUCAACUCGCUAACUAUUCAACUAUUCGACUGUCUUAGAGAGCACGUUCGUAUAUUUAUAUCGACAGAUGUUAUAAAAAGUUCAAAGUUAGAGCAUAUAUGUAACUCCGGUUAAAGAUUACAAAUAACGGUAAUAAUGUUUUGUCCGGAGUUCGUUUGCCUUUAGAUCUUUAAACCAAAACAACGUUGAUAUUCCAAGGCAUAAUAAUAUGAGUCACUCUCCAUUCGAAUUUUCUGUUUACUCAUGUGCUACUACAAAACUAAUAAUCAGUUGAAUCAAGUACCUGUAUACUCUUCUCUAGAGAAUUAAAAACUGCAUUGAAUGGCGUCUAAAAAAUGUAUUGUACUAUUUAGAAAAACAAAGACAAAAUCAUCGGCAGAUGUCCCUCUCGAAAUAGGACAAGUUCUAUCUGAAAAACUUUUUUCGAAUAAUGUAUAGUUUGUAUUUUACGAUAUUAUCUAUCGUAAUUCCAUGUUACUUUUAUACCAUAUUAUUUUAUAUUUAGAUAUUCGGUAUAAAUUUGGUAAAAUUUAAAAUGUGAAAUAUAAAGCUAUUAAGAUCUGGAUUUCGAUUAAUGUAAAAAUCUUUCUCGAUUGUUAUCGAGUAGUUAAUUGUUUGUGAGAAGCAAAUUUAAACAGACUCAUGAAGCUUUCCUAACGACGAUUCACGUAAUUUAUUGCUUGCUGUUUGAUAUGUUAAUUUUUAUCAUUUGAACAGAUAUGUAGCCACUUUCAUGAAACGCUGUUUGUUCGGAAAGGUUUCUGGGUAGAAAAUGAAGUAAGAUAAUGGAAGGUCAUUCGAAAUGCGAUGUAUGCGUUUCAAACUCGUGAUAAGUUGAGCGUCAUUGUUCAAAGAAAUCAAGAUGUGAAAAAUAGGUUAUAGAAAGAAACAUAUUGAGUUUACAGAAAAAUAUUUCAAUUGAUUAUGCUUUAAUAAAAAUUAUAAAAUUCUGGUAUAAGGACGUAGGUACAGCUGCGGAGUGGGGAUAAUGACUUAAAUAAUAAUGCUGCUUAAUGACUUAAAUAAUAAAAUAAUAAUAAUAAAUAAUAAUAAUAAUAACUGCUAGGACCUACAUUAUCUCAGCAGUAGUUUUUUAAAUUAACGUAGAACGAUGAUUUUUUGUUAAAUCUAAGGUAGCUUAACGAAAUAUUAACAAAUAUCAUAAUCAAUUCUAUAAAAAAAUUAUAUUCAAGCCCAAAAUUUUCAAUUUUUUGAUUUCAUAUUUUGUAUAUUAUGGUGAUCUGAGUCUGUUUCUGAAUUGUAGCAAAUUGCUCUUCGUCUUCUAUUUUGUAACAAUAUUUUGAGGUUCAAGAUUCUAAAAAAUUAUAAGGAUACGGAUCGACAUGUUAAAAUAUCUAAUAAUGGCAUAUUUAUUUUAACGGAAAGCAACAAUUGAUAUCUGACACUGGCAUAUCAAAAACAAAGACUACAUAUUCUGCCUGUAUAUUGUUAACACUGUUGUAAACAUUGCGAGGACAAAAAAAGUGUAAAGCAAGACAAAUGAAUAUAAUAUAACAUCCGCGAAAGCCACUAUAGUGGCGCAUCGUACCUAAGAGGUUAAAAGACAGAGGAUAAAUAUUUCUUUGUGAUUUAAAAUUAUGACAGCUGAUUUUUUACAUAGAUAUGUAAAUAUAUAUGUUUAUUUAUAUUAAAAAUAUAAUUUCUGGAUAUAUUACAAUAUAUUAGAUACGGCAUUUAUUGUAUUACAAAAUUAUAAAAUCAAGGUGUGUAAAAUAUUACUAAUACUUUGUUCUUUAUAUAUGAUAUGUGUGUAUAUACAUAUACAGGCUGUAUCACCUAAUAAUCACCACGAUUUUUCAGGCACUUACUAUAGUCUGACGAAGAAA